rnacentral:rRNA from 1 species
GGCGACGGGUGAGUAACGCGUAAGUAACCUGCCCUUAAGUAGAGAAUAACUCUGAGAAAUUAGAGCUAAUACUGUAUGUGGUGGUGGGGGUAAUACUUCAUCACUAAAGCCUUAGGGCGCUUAGGGAGGGGCUUGCGUCCGAUUAGUUAGUUGGUAGGGUAACGGCUUACCAAGGCGAUGAUCGGUAGCUGGUUUGAGAGGACAUUCAGCCACACUGGGAUUGAGAUACGGCCCAGACUCCUACGGGAGGCAGCAGCAAGGAAUUUUGUGCAAUGGGCGAAAGCCUGACACAGCGACACCGCGUGGGGGAUGAAGGCCCUCGGGUUGUAAACCCCUUUUCUCAGAGAAGAAUAAUGACGGUACCUGAGGAAUAAGUCGUGGCUAACUACGUGCCAGCAGCCGCGGUAAUACGUAGGCGGCGAGCGUUAUCCGGAUUUACUGGGCGUAAAGAGGGCGUAGGCGGUUUUUCAAGUCGAGUGUAAAAUCUCCCGGCUUAACUGGGAGGGACCAUUCGAUACUGUUGAGCUAGAGGGCAGCAGGGGGAGGUGGAAUUCCCGGUGUAGUGGUGAAAUGCGUAGAUAUCGGGAGGAACAUCAGUGGCGAAGGCGGCCUCCUAGGCUGUUUCUGACGCUGAAGCCCGAAAGCGUGGGGAGCGAACAGGAUCAGAUACCCUGGUAGUCCACGCCGUAAACGAUGGA